rnacentral:pre_miRNA from 1 species
UUCAACGUUUGAUUAUCCGUUUUAUUUAAAAAUUAUGAUUUGUAUUUUUAUUGUCAUUAGAUGAUAAAAUAUGAAUAAUAUUUUAUAUGUGACUAUUUUUGAAAAAUAAAAUCAUAAAAUUUUUAAAUAAGACGAACCGUCAAACGUUGGAUACGGAAAUCCAU